UACGAAGGGGGCUAGCGUUGCUCGGAAUCACUGGGCGUAAAGGGCGCGUAGGCGGCCAUUCAAGUCAGGGGUGAAAUCCUGGAGCUCAACUCCAGAACUGCCUUUGAUACUGAAGAUCUUGAGUUCGGGAGAGGUGAGUGGAACUGCGAGUGUAGAGGUGAAAUUCGUAGAUAUUCGCAAGAACACCAGUGGCGAAGGCGGCUCACUGGCCCGAUACUGACGCUGAGGCACGAAAGCGUGGGGAGCAAACAGG
rnacentral:rRNA from 1 species